rnacentral:rRNA from 1 species
AUGAACGCUGGCGGCGUGCCUAAUACAUGCAAGUCGAGCGAACAGACGAGGAGCUUGCUCCUCUGACGUUAGCGGCGGACGGGUGAGUAACACGUGGAUAACCUACCUAUAAGACUGGGAUAACUUCGGGAAACCGGAGCUAAUACCGGAUAAUAUAUUGAACCGCAUGGUUCAAUAGUGAAAGACGGUUUUGCUGUCACUUAUAGAUGGAUCCGCGCCGCAUUAGCUAGUUGGUAAGGUAACGCUUACCAAGGCAACGAUGCGUAGCCGACCUGAGAGGGUGAUCGGCCACACUGGAACUGAGACACGGUCCAGACUCCUACGGGAGGCAGCAGUAGGGAAUCUUCCGCAAUGGGCGAAAGCCUGACGGAGCAACGCCGCGUGAGUGAUGAAGGUCUUCGGAUCGUAAAACUCUGUUAUUAGGGAAGAACAAAUGUGUAAGUAACUAUACACGUCUUGACGGUACCUAAUCAGAAAGCCACGGCUAACUACGUG